GAGUGGCGCACGGGUGAGUAACGCGUAUGCAACCUACCUGUAUCAGAGGGAUAGCCCAUAGAAAUCUGGAUUAAUGCCCCAUAGUUCUAUUAGAUCGCAUGAUUUGAUAGAUAAAGCUCCGGCGGUUACAGAUGGGCAUGCGUGACAUUAGCUAGUUGGUAAGGUAACGGCUUACCAAGGCUACGAUGUCUAGGGGUUCUGAGAGGAUGAUCCCCCACACUGGUACUGAGACACGGACCAGACUCCUACGGGAGGCAGCAGUAAGGAAUAUUGGGCAAUGGAGGCAACUCUGACCCAGCCAUGCCGCGUGAAGGAUUGACGGCCCUCUGGGUUGUAAACUUCUUUUAUACACAAGAAAAACUUCCACGUGUGGGAGCUUGACGGUAGUGUAUGAAUAAGCAUCGGCUAACUCCGUGCCAGCAGCCGCGGUAAUACGGAGGAUGCAAGCGUUAUCCGGAUUCAUUGGGUUUAAAGGGUGCGUAGGCGGCUUUUUAAGUCAGUGGUGAAAUCCUGCCGCUUAACGGUAGAAUUGCCAUUGAUACUGAAAAGCUUGAGUACAUUUGAGGUAAGCGGAAUGUGUAGUGUAGCGGUGAAAUGCUUAGAUAUCACACAGAAUAUCAAUUGCGAAGGCAGCUCACAAAGCCAUUAUUGACGCUGAGGCACGAAAGUGUGGGGAUCAAACAGGAUUAGAUACCCUGGUAGUCCACACCGUAAACGAUGAUAACUCGCUGUCGGCGAUAAACAGUCGGUAGCCAAGCGAAAGCGAUAAGUUAUCCACCUGGGGAGUACGACCGCAAGGUUGAAACUCAAAGGAAUUGACGGGGGCCCGCACAAGCGGAGGAACAUGUGGUUUAAUUCGAUGAUACGCGAGGAACCUUACCCGGGCUCGAACGUAUAGGGAAUUAUGCCGAAAGGUAUAAGCCAGCAAUGGCCCGGAGACAGGUGCUGCAUGGUUGUCGUCAGCUCGUGCCGUGAGGUGUCGGGUUAAGUCCCAUAACGAGCGCAACCCUUAUCGUUAGUUGCCAGCGGGUCAAGCCGGGGACUCUAGCGAGACUGCCACCGUAAGGUGAGAGGAAGGUGGGGAUGACGUCAAAUCAGCACGGCCCUUAUGUCCAGGGCUACACACGUGUUACAAUGGCCGAUACAAAGGGCAGCUACUCCGCGAGGAGAUGCUAAUCUCUAAAGUCGGUCCCAGUUCGGAUUGGAGUCUGCAACCCGACUCCAUGAAGUUGGAUUCGCUAGUAAUCGCGCAUCAGCCAUGGCGCGGUGAAUACGUUCCCGGGCCUUGUACACACCGCCCGUCACACCAUGGGAGCGGGGGGUACCUGAAGUCUGCCACCGCAAGGAGCGGCCUAGGGUAAAACCAGUGACUGGGGU
rnacentral:rRNA from 1 species